UACGUAGGGGGCUAGCGUUGUCCGGAUUUAUUGGGCGUAAAGAGCGUGUAGGCGGCCAGAUAGGUCUGCUGUGAAAACUCGAGGCUCAACCUCGAGAUGUCGGCGGAAACCAUUUGGCUAGAGUCCGGAAGAGGAAAGUGGAAUUCCUGGUGUAGCGGUGAAAUGCGCAGAUAUCAGGAGGAACACCGGUGGCGAAGGCGGUUCUCUGGGCAUUACCUGACGCUGAGGAGCGAAAGUGUGGGGAGCGAACAGG
rnacentral:rRNA from 1 species